AUGCCCAAUAUGCAAAGCAUCUCGAUGCCUCAGGGCAGACACCGCUCCCAUCUGAAACUGUUAAAACCAGGACAUCCUGCCAGUGGGGGUCUGUUUUAUUUAUGGUCUUUGAGCUGUGUGAAAAUGAGAGCUGACAGUAGAGCCAAUACAAGCCGUCUGUCCUGUACAGUAAAAUCCCAUGUGCUGGCACUAUAUUACACUGGCAGAUCAAACAAACUUCUCUUUAAAAGGAAUACUCAGUGUUUUAGCACAUACCGUAUUUUUCGCUCUAUAACACGCAGAUUUUUUCUCCUAAAAAGGAAGGGGAAAUGUCUGUGCGUGUUAUAGAGCGAAUGUGUGGUCCCUGGAGCCAAAAAAUCAAGCAAAAGUCAAACAGCGAGUCACGGAGAAGGGAAACCUGAAAAGAGGAAGUGGCAGCUUUCCUGCAUUCUGCCUCAGGGUCUUACUGCCCACCCUUCUCUGUUUCGUUGCUGUGAUUGCUGAAACGGAACAAAGAGCAGGGAAAGCCCCUCCCCUCCAGGCAAGCAGAGUGUAGUUCUUUCUAAUUCCUCUCUGUGCUCCGGUGCUGCUGGGGGAGAGGGAGAGAGAGGGGGGGAGGGAGAGGGAGAGGGGGGGAGGGAGAGGGAGAGAGGGGGGGGAGGGAGAGGGAGAGAGGGGGGGAGGGAGAGAGAGGGGGGAGGGAGGGAGGGAGAGAGAGAGAGAGAGAGAGAGAGAGAGAGAGAGAGAUGGCUGGCUUGGGGGGGAACUUUUGCCUUUCUUUCCUCCCACCCCAAAUCCCUCUCCAGCAUUCUUAGCCAGCUGCUUCUCUGCACACCCCUCUCAUGUCCCUUCUUUGUUUUUCCUUCGCUCCCCACUUAAAAUGUGGUUACAAAGCAUAGAUCAACAUGGAUCCUCAGGAUCUUUGCAUUAGGUCACCCCAAAUUCACCAUCAGAUCACAUAGCAUGUCCAUGGCUACAGCCUGCACCAAAAAAAUCACGCACCCACUGUUGCCUGGGGCUGCAAUGGUGCAAAAACGUGGUUAAAAAGCAUGGAUCCACAUGGAUCCUCAGGAUCUUUGCAUUGGGUCACCCCAAAUUCACCAUCAGAUCACAUAGCAUGUCCAUGGCUAUAGCCUGCACCAAAAAAAGCACGCACCCACUGUUGCCUGGGGCUGCAAUGGUGCAAAAAUGUGGUUACAAAGCAUGGAUCCACAGGGAUUCUCAGGAUCUUUGCAUUGGGUCACCCCAAAU
rnacentral:lncRNA from 1 species